GAAGGGAAGGGGAAGUUACACACUUCUGUUCUGAAUGUUGCUUCUCCUUUGGAUACUUCGGUCAUGCAUCUUUAUUCAACUUUUUAAAAAAAUCAUAAAUAAGCAAACGUAAGUGGUUCUAAUUUUUUUUUUUUUUCAGAAAAAUUACCUACAGAGUCAGCUAUAUGUCUUACCUACCUAAGACUUUACUCUAUUUGGAAACUAAGAGACUAGGCAAUUUCACAAUGUGCCAGUUUGGGCCAAGAGCUUUGUAAUAUGCAGAUGCUCCCAGAAAUAGAAGAUGAAGUUUGCAAGACCAAAUACUAUUUUUGCCUCUUUAAAGAAAAAUCAGGAGAUUCUAAAAAGGAGAUAUUCUAAGACUUCAACAACUAAAGGAAAUAAUGGAUUAACAAGUAAAGGAAGAUUUUUGAAUCCUGAAGAUCCUUUCCACUUCUUCUGCAAGAUGCCCUUGAAUAUCUUUUAGAAAAUAAAUUGCCCUCCUUCCUGACUUCAGCUAACUGGCUUGCAUGAGACUGAUACCACACUCAGCUGCUGGAGAUGACCUCGAAUGGUUUAAGCCAAUCAGCAUUAAAUUACAUCUUUUAAGGGGGAAUGGGUUUGGACUGGGAGCUUGAAAACCUGUGAGUCUUGUUGGAGUCUCAAGACUUUUGCUUGGAAUUCUGGGGCUUGGAUGCCAUUUUCCCUUUUGGACUUGAAGGAAGAGGUCUAGAAACUUGAGAGUUGCCAGAGCCACCUUGGGAUUACCAGGAAAGAAGAUGCCCGAGGAAAGAAUUAACAGCGCAAAAGCAGGACAUAGAAAGGAAAAGGCGAGAAGAAUGCUGUGCUGUUGGAACAGAAUAAUUGAAAGCGAUACUAAAGCAACGUUGCCUAUUCUGAUGACCAUGUUGGCAAACCGAGAAGGUGGUUUGUGAUGCAGCGACGCAGGCUGUAGGGCAAGGAUGAUAACGGAAGACAAUGACAUGUCACGGGAGCUUUGUGACAGCCGUAGCCUACGCGGGCAGAAAUGGCGUGGCAAGCACCCUUCGCAGAUACAGCGUGUGGAUCGCCAUGAACUCAAACUCACUAGGCUUGGGAGUAAUUGCGAAUGGACUACCUCACUGCUUGUACUUCUCAAGUCAAUCUUGAAAAUCCCCACUCGUAUCUGAGUUUUUUAAAAGCAGCAUAGUUUGUGAUAACUGAUCAUUGGAAGAUGUACAGUGAGGCAGGCUCUUCCAUACUGUUCACGGCUGGGAUCUUAAAGAACCACUGCUUUGUUGUUAACGUUCCUGAGCUACUCGUGUUUUCAUGCAUGUCACGGAGCUGUGCUAUACAAACGGGCACUGAGCAGUGCUCAAGGCAUUUCCCACUUUUUUCUUGUUGUCUGCAGCCCUUCAUAUCUUUUUUCUUGCCCACAGUCCUUCAUAUCCCUCAUUUCUGGCCAUUGUUUCUGGAAAGUUCUCUGCUAAGUCAGUGAUGACCAUCAAGUGGAGACUGACUUUAACAGGUGUUAUUCAGCUAAAUGGUCAAUGACCUAGUGUUUUUAAAAAAUUUUAACUUACACUGGUGAUGGCAGAAAUAGUUUUGUUUUUACAAAUUUAUUUUUAAAAUUUCUGCCCAUCUCUGGAAGAGUGAGGAAGGUUCAGAUAUGUAGGAAAGGGAAACCAUGGUGAAAAGUUAAAAUCUUUUCAACAAAAAUGCUUGCUUGUUUUCACGCCAUACUCCUGGAACCCAGUGACAGUACCCGUAUUAAAACUAGGUUAAGAGUCAUCCAAGAUGUCUAUGCCUGUAUGAAAGGCAAUGGCUUGAUUUAAUCAGUGUUGUAAACUUGAAGAAACUCUUGGAGACAAUGCAAACAUUUCAGAUUUGUUUCUAUUUCUUUUUAAAUUCUUUGGCCUAUGUCUUUGAUUAAGAAACCCACAUGUGGUUUAAUUACUUCAUGUUUAUUUGAAUAUCAAAGUCAUGGCUUACGAUAUCUUACCAUACACCCCAGUUGUAUAUUCUCCUUUCAUCUGUCCAUCUGCUAAUGCAUUGAUUCACUUUUUGUAAGCACCUACUACGAGAGAAGUACUUAGGGUAUAAGAAAAAAUAAGACCCAGGCUCUGCCCUCAGGGACCUUCUUGCUAAGAUGUAUGCACCGCCCUGUCACUUGCACACACAUAUAUAUUACCAAAGUGUUUUAUCUGCCAAACUGUGGCCUUGUUUGCCUCCUUGUUAUCUGGUCGUGGUGGUCAGGUGAAGAGAAACUUAUUUUCAGCCUUAGGCCCAGAAAGUAACAGAUUUGUCUGACCAGAUAUAAAAUAGUCAUGAGGAUUCAAGAAAGAAUUCCCUUUUCCCUUUAGAACAGACAGUAUUGAACCGAUCGAGUGGGGGAAAAAAAAUCUUAGUUUUAUGUGUCUUCAAUUAUUCAGGUCUCAAAAUACACUUUUGUUGUAGGUGUUAAAUAGGUUAUAAUGUCUCACUUUGAAUACAGACAUAUCAGACAGAAUCCUUCCCAAUUCUACUUCUCUAAAACCUUAGAAAACUGAAGGAUCCAAGAUAUCUCAAAUCCCACAACUAUGUACAUUGGUAUUUGUGAUAUUCUCUCCCCCUCUCCCCCUCUCC